rnacentral:rRNA from 1 species
UACGUAGGGUGCAAGCGUUGUCCGGAAUUAUUGGGCGUACAGCGCUCGUAGGCGGUUUGUUGCGUCGGCUGUGAAAUCCCGAGGCUCAACCUCGGGUCUGCAGUCGAUACGAGCAAACUAGAGUGUUGCAGGGGAGACUGGAAUUCCUGGUGUAGCGGUGAAAUGCGCAGAUAUCAGGAGGAACACCGGUGGCGAAGGCGGGUCUCUGGGCAACAACUGACGCUGAGGAGCGAAAGCGUGGGGAGCGAACAGG